CCUACGGGUGGCAGCAGUGGGGAAUAUUGCACAAUGGGGGAAACCCUGAUGCAGCAACGCCGCGUGAAGGAAGACGGUUUUCGGAUUGUAAACUUCUGUUCUUAGUGAAGAAUAAUGACGGUAGCUAAGGAGCAAGCCACGGCUAACUACGUGCCAGCAGCCGCGGUAAUACGUAGGUGGCAAGCGUUGUCCGGAAUUACUGGGUGUAAAGGGAGCGCAGGCGGGAAGCCAAGUCAGCUGUGAAAACUACGGGCUUAACUUGUAGACUGCAGUUGAAACUGGUUUUCUUGAGUGAAGUAGAGGUUGGCGGAAUUCCGAGUGUAGCGGUGAAAUGCGUAGAUAUUCGGAGGAACACCGGUGGCGAAGGCGGCCAACUGGGCUUUAACUGACGCUGAGGCUCGAAAGUGUGGGGAGCAAACAGGAUUAGAUACC
rnacentral:rRNA from 1 species